rnacentral:rRNA from 1 species
CCUACGGGUGGCUGCAGUCGAGAAUCUUCGGCAAUGGGCGCAAGCCUGACCGAGCGACGCCACGUGCGGGAUGACGGCCCUCGGGUUGUAAACCGCUGUCGGGGGGGAUGAAGUCACGGGAGGUCCUCCUCCCGUGUUGACAGAGCCCCGGAGGAAGCGCGGGCUAAGUACGUGCCAGCAGCCGCGGUAAGACGUACUGCGCGAACGUUAUUCGGAAUCACUGGGCUUAAAGGGUGCGCAGGCGGCUGCCCAAGCCCGAAGUGAAAUGCCCCGGCCCAACCGGGGACGUGCUUCGGGGACUGGGCGGCUCGGGCGAGCUAGGGGUCUGUGGAACUCCCGGUGGAGCGGUGAAAUGUGUUGAGAUCGGGAGGAACGCCGGUGGCGAAAGCGACAGACUGGGGCUUUGCCGACGCUCAGGCACGAAAGCCAGGGGAGCGAAC